rnacentral:snoRNA from 1 species
UUAAAUGUCCAUCACUGGAAACACCUUAUAGAGUAAUUCUUGUUUUUACUUUACUCACAGAACUAUUUGUUAGAUCUGUGCAAAGAAACUACAAGACAGAG